rnacentral:lncRNA from 1 species
CCCCACAACCGCCGGCGGGGCCCGUUUCAACAACGAGAUCGGUGCCGACUACAGCAGGCAAACCCUGGCAUCCGCCACAGACUUCAUAUGGAGAACCUUCCAACAGACCAACCCGGCUGACAGAAAAAACGUACAGAAAGUCAGCUUGUUCGUCGAUGACAUGGACGGCGUCGCGUAUUCCAGCAACAAUGAGAUUCACGCAAGUGCAAGAUACAUAGGAAGUUAUUCCGGCGACCUGAAGAGAGAAAUCACCGGGGUGCUUUAUCACGAGAUGACGCAUAUAUGGCAGUGGAACGGCAACGGGCAGACUCCCGGGGGAUUGAUCGAAGGGAUUGCCGAUUUUGUGAGGCUGAAGGCUAACUACGCCCCGAGCCACUGGGUGCAGCCGGGGCAGGGGGAUAGGUGGGAUCAAGGGUAUGACGUAACGGCUAGGUUUUUGGAUUAUCUUAACAGUCUGAGAAAUGGCUUUGUUGCUGAGCUUAACAAGAAGAUGAGAACUGGGUAUAGCGCUAACUAUUUUGUUGAGCUUCUGGGGAAGAAUGUUGAUCAGCUAUGGCGUGACUACAAGGCUAAGUAUGGAAAAUCCUCAAUGCUUGCUUGAGUAUUUGAUAAUAAGAUGUUAGUGGGUUUUAUUUAUUAUAAGGUAAGCUGUGUAUUUAUUAAUUAAUAAUAUGUCUAAAUGACAGUUAAUAAAAUUCUAAUUCUGCAACUGUGUGGAUUGUUUGGGAAUGGCUAGCUAUUUGGUUGGGCAACAUCAUUAAUUUAUUGGUUUGUGUAUUAGUUUGAAAUAAAAUGCUGUCCUCGCUUAUAUACAAACAUACAUAUUUACUCUUCAUGAACACUUCGGCUUAAAAGUCACCAAAUUCGAACAACAGAAUUUUGCAUCACAUAGCUGCUUGUUAUAUUAAUUAUAUAUAUAUAUAUAUAUAUAUAUAUAUAUAUAUAUAUUUAAUUAAUAAAUUUCCACCCUUCCAUAGAGUUUCCCCAAAAAAAUUGAAAAAAAAAUCCACCAAACAUGUUUAUUCUACUAAUUAACUUGAUAACGCUUUUAGUAUAUACGCCUUUCUUCGAGAAGCAACUUUGCUAGUUCGAGAGCUGGCCGCUCACAAGCUGCUCGCUUGCUAUCAUCCUUAAUUGAUUCAAAAUCCUCAACAUGGGCUACACCGACAAUCCUCAUAUCAAUCAAAACGAAAAAAACUUCAUGUUAUGUAGAUUCACAGGAUUAAAUCUAAAUAUAUUUGACGACUAAAAUGAUUUUGAGACACAAGUUACACAUCAAAAUUUUAAACAAUUUGAUACUGCAUGAACAAUUUAUGGAACAAAACAACCGUCAACGUAAGUACUUAUUUGAUAUAACUUAUCUAGUAACCAUAAUACUUAUUUAAUCUCAUCAAUUCUUUACAAAUCUUUUUUUUUUUUGUUCAAAUUUUUUUUACUGGAGUUUUUUAAAAUUAAAGAAGCUAUUUUCAAUCUAUUAAUUAGGGAGCAAAUGUUAAAAAAAAUUAAAAUAUUAUAAUUUCUAAAAUAUCUUUUACUUAUUUGACAAUAUUAUUUCAUAACAUAACUUUAAAAAAUUUGUGUAUUAAAGUAAUUGUACAAUUUUAAAUAAAAACUCUCAUUGACAACAAACAAUUAUUUUUUUAUUUUUUAAAAAAAUGUAAAAGCUCUACUAGUGAAGCUCUAUUUGAAAAGAUACACCAAAUGAAGCCUAAAAUUAACAUUAUUGAUACAUCUUUUCAAGAGGAAACACGGAGCCAUUCAAGCUAAACAAAAUUAGAACCCCAAUUCAUCUGUUUUUCUUUGAGACUCAGUUCCUGCUUUUGGGAUUUACAAUGAUUUGUCAAGCAAGGCUUUUCAAAGGUCUAACGCACAAAUUGAUCGAUAAAAGAACAUCCAUCGACAUUUUGUUAUCAAAAUAUAGAAGAAAUGUAAUAUAGCUACGGACAGUAUCCCAAAUGAUAAAAGAGUCUACUCCUGACAAAAUAGGAUUGUAACCAAUCAAAAACAGAUCAAGACGGCUCUACUAAAAGUUAGCAAAAGAAGGAAAUGGGGUCACUGUGAGUAGGGGUGGGCAUAAACCCACAACCUAUGGGUUUAUCCAAACUCAAACCAAAUUAAAUGGUUUAGGUUGGGUAAAUCAUGAAAAUGGGUUAGAUGUGGGUUUUAUGUAGAAAACCAUUUCAUUAUGGUUUGGGUAUGGUUUACCCAUGAGUUAUGGACAAAACCCCAACACUCAAAUUUUUCAAAUGAAAUAAAUGAAAACAAAAUAAAUGAACACAAAUAAGUGAAAGACCACUAUUAAAUUUUUUACAGCGUGAUCAAUUGUCAACAGUUAUAAAAUGAAAAUAACAGUAAAAAUAAAUUUAAAUUAAAUAAAUAUUGUUGUAAAUAACAUAAAUUUUUUUUCUUAUUUAUAAAAAUAAUUCCUCCAACAUGGAAAGAUCAUCAUAGAAAGAGCAGGAGACUCUACUCAGAAGAAAUUUAUUAUUUAUCUUAUAGUAAAUUUUUAUUUGUCAUUCAAGUUUUCUUAUAAUAAUUUUUUUUAUCAUUUGACUAAUAAUUUUCUUAUAUAUUUAUUAUAAGCAAAUUUUCACAAAAUAAAUAAGUAUAAAAAAAUUUUAUUAUUAAUUUUUUUGUUCAUAUCAAAACAUAUAUUUCUUAUUUUUAAUGCUUUAUUUUUUAUUUAGUUUCUAUUCAUGUGAUUUAUUUAAUUUAGAAUAAAUAUAAAUAAAAGAGUAGUUGAAAAUAACGGUAAUAUUGUAAAUUUAUACUAUUAUGGGGGGUUUUGGCCAUUAUAAAAGCAGAAGGGGGAAAAAUAAUAUAUGUUGAUUACUGUAGGGGGGAAACUGGCAAUCUCCCUAAAAUUAAACAUAUAAGUAGACAACAUAACGCAAAAAUACCAAAACGAUACAUAAAAACAAAUAUUACAUAACUAAAUAAAUAACAAGUGGCAAAAUUUAUUAUUAGAUUGUUAAUGUCAUGUUUGUGAAAGUUUAUUAUUAAAGUGUACGUUCUUAUUUAUUGAGAAAUAAUAAUUUUUGUGAUUAAACUUUAUUUUGAUUUUGUAGUAUUCUUUAAUUUAAGGAUUAAGUUAUUGUAAAAUUUAUAAUUUUUAUCCACUAUAUUUUUUUAUAUUUUAAUAUCAAUUUAAUAAUUAAUAACAAUUAAUAAUUAUUAUAAUUUUGAUAUAAUUAAAUUUUAUUAAAAUAAAAAUUAUUUUGAUAAUAAAAUUCAAACCAAACCCAAAUGGUUUGGUUUGGUUUGGGUUAAAAAUAUUUGGAUUGGUUUGGGUUGGAUCCAAAUUUUUAUAAUUUAGUUUGGGUUGACUUAAAAUCCAACCCAAACCAACUCAUGCUCACCCCUAACUGUGAGUGUUGGAACUAGGAAUAAAGAAAAUAAAUGAACAAACUUAAAAAGACUUAAACUCACCUUAUCAUUUUGGCAGCACCAAAUCCAAGGGUGUCAUGGAAUAGAUCUUUCAUAAAUUUUUCUUGUACAAGCUACUGAAGCUCGGGCUUGUUAUAAAUUUCUGGAAGGUAUGCCUCACCAGAACCAUCCCUGUGUUGAUGCCAAAGUGCAGUGAAUUUCUUGUGGAACAGAGUCCAAGUCUCUUCAAUUGUCCUCCAAAUCCACUCCUUGUAUUCCUACACGUAGAUGUAAAUUUAAGACAUGACCCUUAAGAAACGAGUAAAUAGAAGUUGAACCCUGCAAGAAUGUUUAUAACUUAUCCAUUCCCCGUGAUAAGAAACAUGAAAUGCUAGUUGCUUUAAUUCUUGACUAGAAAUGAAGGAUAGCCCAAUCCAACCCCACACCCCUGGCUACUCCCCAAGUUGAAAUAUCUUCCCCGCACCCCCCAACCCCCCCCCCCCCAAUUUCCUCCUUUAAGGCCAACUAGCAACCCAUUCCCCCCUCUUAUUCCUUUCUCUCAUUUUUUUCCUUAUCUACUCUUUUAUUCCUAUUAAUCUCAUCUUUAACUUUAUUCCGUUUAUUCUCUUUCUCCAUAUCUUCUUUUCUAUCAUACUCUUUUAUACUCUCUUUUUUAUCAUUCUCCUAUUAUUUAUUCUUCUAUUUCCUCUUCUUCCAUACUAUCUCUAUAUUUUUCUUUUACCUUUUUCCCCUCAAAAUUAAUAUCUCGUCACCCCACCCUUAUUUCAAUGCAUUCAAUGCCCACCAUUCUUCUUUCUUUCUCCCUAUUAAAAUUAUUUCCANNNNNNNNNNNNNNNNNNNNNNNNNNNNNNNNNNNNNNNNNNNNNNNNNNNNNNNNNNNNNNNNNNNNNNNNNNNNNNNNNNNNNNNNNNNNNNNNNNNNCAAAAAAAAAAAAACAGAGAAGACAUGCCCGUACAAUCAUGCUUUCAUUUGUCUCUAAAUAGGAAAUACAAGAUUAUAAUCAGCAUCAUUACAAGUUUUGUGGCUUAAUAUAUACUAAAAACCAUAAAGUUUCAGCUUUAAUUUAAAAAACUACCAGCAGCGGCUUAAAUUCAUUUUCCUGUGUUUUGACGCCUUCUCUUGAUGCGAUUUGUGCACCUUCAGCUAGAAAUAUAUUUUGUUGCCUGAAGAUAGUAUGAGUUAUGCAAUUUGACUUUCUUUUUUUUUUUACAUGCUAAUACUAUAACCUGAAGAAGAUGGUCAUAAAGAACUAAAGACCCAAUAGGAAGAAAAGAGAAACAGAGAAUGAAAGCAGAGAGAAGAAAGAAAGAUAGAGAGACGUACUUUCCGGUCAUUCCCUUCAUGAGCAUGUCCAUCUUGGGCAAAAAAGGGCAAAAUCAAGUUUCCGACAAAAGCUCCAAUGUCAAAACCCAUUGGUCUAUAAAAUGCAAAUUCUGGAUCUAUAACCUGAGUUGAAUUAGGGGUGUCCAUAACAGAGCCAGUGUGGAGAUCUCCAUGUAUCAGGGCUUGUGCUCUUUCACAGAACCUAUGGUAAAGGGAGCUUUGAUAUAUUAUAAAGGAAAAUUUAAAAAACAAAGAGUCUACGCACUACGAAAAGAAACAGUACCGAGGACGAAAUAUUAUUAUACAUGGAUUCCAACCCAGCAACUUCGAGCUUUAAUGUAUUAUCCUCCCGAGCAGCCUCAGCGUCACGAUCAAGAUAAGGAGAAGUCCAACGGUUAAACUUAGAUACUUUGUAGGGGUCCGAGAAAACAACCUGCUCAGUGAGCCUGCAUAGCUCCACAUUCCCACAAAAUUCAGCAACUGCAACAAAAAUUAAAGCAAGCACAUUUGCUACAUUUGAUCAAACAAGUUAACCAAGUUCGAUCGCAUAUUUUAGAGGUGCUUAAACGUAAAGAUUCUGUGGUGUACCAAGUAAUAAUAUAUAUAAUGAUAUUUCAUUUUUUAUUGUAACAAUAAUUCUAUCCUCUCAAAUUCUAAAUGAUUUAGUAUAUGAUAUUAAGUUUGAAUCUUAAUUAAUGUGACAUUCCUGUAAUUUUCUUACAGUAUCAAUAUAUAGAAUUAAAAUGAUAAGUAAUCAACCAAAUGGUUGUGGCUCAAUUGGCAGCGCAGACUGAAUUUAUGGAAAGAGCUCUCGGGUUUGAUCCCCACUAAACACACUAUUUGAGAGGGAUAAAGAGCCUUAACUGUGACUACACUCCAAAUCCAGAUUAGUCAAGGCUCAAUGCUGUCGCGAGUUACCGGAUGAUUUACAAAAAAAAAAAAUGAUAAGUAAUCAAGUGAUUUUUUUUUUCAAUUAUCACAACUCUUUAUAAAUUGUAAUUACUUAAUUGAUUAUUGUAUAAACUAAUGCGUAUUUAUAAGUGUGUAUGGUGUGUGCGAAAAAAAAAAUUAUUGUUUUAUAAUGAACAACAAACUUCCCAGUUCCCACUCUUAUGAGGCAAGUAAAUACAUGCCGCCAAUCCUGGGCAAAGGAUCCGUAGUCCUCUCUAGUUGAUGGGUAGGGAGUACAGGAAAAAAUUAAAACAGAGAGAGACAUUUUAGAAGGAUAAGAUGGUCCACUUCUAUAUAUACGAAACCAAAUAAAAUGCGUUUUGUGGUGAAAAUUGAAAACUUUUUUCAGGGCGCCAGUGAAAAAAGCAAAGUCCAAGUCAAAAUCAACACUGAAGCCACUUUUUUUCAAUUUUAAAACAUAAAUGGAUUUGAAAAUCAGCCACUAUGGUGAGUGGUAAAACACCUUUUUGUGGGAUGGGGUUUGAGUCCCAAAUUUAUCUCGGUGCAUAAUUUAGAAAAUUUGAUCAUUUUAUUCAAUAUCUCAGUAAUCUUUAAUGUAUGAAUAUUAAAAUAAAUAAAUGUAUAAAACUAGUAACACUGGACCAAAAAAUUUUUUUAUACAAAUUAUAAAAGUUAAUGUAAUAUAAGAUUAUUGAUUGGAUAAAAAAUUCUACAUACAUGAUCUACAUUGUUAGUUCAUUUCAUUCUUAUGUGUUGUUAAUUUCUUCAUUCGAUCCAUACUUGUUAUUCCAUAAAAAUUUAUACGCAAUUGUCUAUAUGAAGAAUUCCGUGUGGCUCUAAAAUUAAUCGUUUAAGAGAAAGUAAAAAAUGAAUCUCAUGAUAUACUAAUAAAAAUACUUGUAUUUUUGUAAGCAUGAAAAUUCAUCGUUAUUGGCUGAGCCUAAUAUUUUGGCCAUAUUUAACAUCAUGAACCAAAGGGACUACCCUGCUUCUAUUAUAUCCAUAUCUUAUUAAUUCUUUAUCAUGAAUAUGACCCUUUCGUUGACCUCAAACUCUCCAUAUAAACCAUGGAGUCUCAACAAUUCUUGUACCAAAAUACCAACCAAAAACUAGCUAGCUCUUCUUAAUUAAUUCCCCAUGGCUCUCUUCAAAAAGCAUUUCCUCUCAUUGCUGCUAACCCUAGCAGCAACACAAACGGUCCAUGCAGUCGACUACGUCGUGACCAACACCGCCCCUACAACCGCUGGCGGCGCCCGUUUCAAAAAAGAGAUCGGCGCCGGCUACAGCAAGCAAACCCUGGCAUCCGCCACAGACUUCAUAUGGAGAACCUUCCAACAAACCAAGCCAGCUGACAGGAAAAACGUACGGAAAGUCAGCUUGUUCGUCGAUGACAUGGACGGCGUGGCGUAUGCCGUCAACAAUGAGAUUCAUGUAAGUGCAAGAUA